rnacentral:rRNA from 1 species
AUUGAACGCUGGCGGCAGGCCUAACACAUGCAAGUCGAACGGUAACAGAAAGCAGCUUGCUGCUUUGCUGACGAGUGGCGGACGGGUGAGUAAUGUCUGGGAAACUGCCUGAUGGAGGGGGAUAACUACUGGAAACGGUAGCUAAUACCGCAUAACGUCGCAAGACCAAAGAGGGGGACCUUCGGGCCUCUUGCCAUCGGAUGUGCCCAGAUGGGAUUAGCUAGUAGGUGGGGUAACGGCUCACCUAGGCGACGAUCCCUAGCUGGUCUGAGAGGAUGACCAGCCACACUGGAACUGAGACACGGUCCAGACUCCUACGGGAGGCAGCAGUGGGGAAUAUUGCACAGUGGGCGCAAGCCUGAUGCAGCCAUGCCGCGUGUAUGAAGAAGGCCUUCGGGUUGUAAAGUACUUUCAGCGGGGAGGAAGGGAGUAAAGUUAAUACCUUUGCUCAUUGACGUUACCCGCAGAAGAAGCACCGGCUAACUCCGU